UCCUGUCUGUCUCUGCGUUGACCUUGUGAACUGGAUAAUGGCUGGAUGGAUAAAACUCUGGUCCGGUCUUUUGGGUUUUAUUUGUGCCUCUGGUUCUACACACCUGAAUCUAAAGGAAGAAUUACUUCCUUACCAGUGAGAGGCAGCAGCUUCGGGUCACCAAAUUCCCUGGAUUACAAAUCUACAUCCCGGCAGUGAAGUGGAGACAUGAUGGAUGUGUGAAGAACAAGCCACCUGCCAAACUCACCUUUCAAUGGCAAUCGCUACCAGGGUGAAGACCGAGGCUGACACGGACACGCCCUGCACAAACCCACUCAUCUUGCACACUGUGUUGGAGAAGGGCCACCCUAAGGCGGAUGUGUUUUGUGUGUCAAACCAACAAAACCCUUGGAAAAACCUGUUCCCCCCCUCGCCUGGGGUGGUGCUGCAACAAGAGCCAUCAAAGGAAAUGACAAACUUCUGACAAGGGGAUGAGUGCAACUUCCUUCUUCUCAAAAUGUAAACAAUAAAUGGA